AGGGCUCCCACAGAACUUGCUCCCUGCGAGGAACUGGGGGUAGCUGACCCCCGUUAUCUCGAGGCCUUGGCUGAAGCGGGGAUAGGAAGAAUUCCACCUUCAACAUUGUGAUACAUGCAGCAAGUAUGAGGAGAACGCCCAGCCAGGUCCAAUUUCAGCAGCACAGAUUGACUGCCUUUGAAUGACUCUGAACCACUAAAGUGGUGCCUGAACACAAGGCGUUUAAGACCUGAACUUGGGGACAGAGGCUGACAUGUGCCCAUGGCUUAUAAUCUGGUGGUGAUGGAAUUACAGGCGUGGUGCAGGCUGCCGGCCGGGAGAAAGCACAGAGGAGGAGACGAGCACAGAAGCACCAGGAGAAGGCAGUUCAGCGCCAGCCUGGACCCCCUCCCCGUCUCCUCCAGUGCAGGGGCUCCCCGUGCGUCGUGUGUACCCACGGGCACGUAUGUGCCCUCGGGAUAUGGAGCCAGCGGGGUAGACCUGCUAUCAAACUGAAGUUUGGCAACAAAAGCAAAAGUGCUGACAAUACUAGCCGCCAGGUCCUGGGCAUCUCCAGUUCCAGGCACCGCUCUUUGUCGCAAGGGCUCUAACCCCACAGGACAAGGAGUGUUAUGCUCGUCUUACAGAGGAAGCAGCUGGAUAUGGUCAGUCGCUUGCCCAGAUCACACAGCACCGAAGUCACAGGGCUGGAGUGAAAUGUGAAUGCCUCUAAUUCCCAAAGCCAAGUUCAUGCUGGUGAGCCCUGGUACAGAAGGCCUCCCAACAGGGUUUGCCACGCUCGGAAAAAUGGGACUAUGGAGAAAGAACAACUUUCGACAAGGUCUAAGAAAAUGAUAGAACACAGUCCAGAAAACAUUUCCAAUUUGGGGCUAGGACAGAGUGGACACGCAUCUCCCGAUUAGUCCCAGUAAGUACAGCAAAAUCUCUGGACCUUAUAUGUGAGACAAACACAGAAAGACUCUGAAAGGCAGAGAGAAAAGCCAGACCAGCUAGAUGUGGUGGUGAGUUCAUACACCUUGAACCACAUCCUGGAGAAGCCAGCAACCCAGGAAUGCCAACGGGCACAGGUGCAAAAGUCCCAAGAACAGCCUGCUCUCUCUGGCCACAGGGACCCCCUAGCAGGACAGAGUACUUUGACACAGUCACGGACCCAUGCCAUCCAAACGCAUGGAGAAAUGCAUGGCCUCACCCCUACCCCACCAGGAAGGCCAAGACCAGAAUGUUCACCACCACCUAGUGGGAAGAAGGUGGUCAGGGGAGGCCCAGCAGAGCUGGUACCAUCACGUGCACCUGGCAGUGACGAGAGCCUGGCUAACUCAGUUUGUCGAAACGGUAAAGGCAAACGGCCCGUGGGGAGACUGCAAGUCAAAGACAGGCUGCUGAUGCAGAAAUUGCAAAUGAGACCCAGAACCCCAUAACAGAAUAGUCAGAAUAGCCAGGUUAUCAUUAAAAAAGUUACUCAUCAUACCAACGACCAGGAAAAUCUCCGUUUGAAUGAGAAAAUACACCCAGGAUAUAUGAUACCAAGAUGACAGAGAUGUUAGAAUUAUCUGGCAAGGAUUUUUUAAGCAGCCAUCAAAACAAAAACAAAAACAAACAACAACAACAACAACAAAACAAAAAACCACCCUGGAUCAACGAACAAUUACAAACACACUUGAGACAAAUGAGAAAAAAGAAACUCUCGGCAAAGAAAGAGAAGACACGAUGAAGAGCCACGUCGGGAUUUUGGAACUGAAAAAUAUGAUCAUCCAAAUGAAAGACUCAGUGGGGCCUCGGCAUCAGAAUGGAGAGGACAGAGAAAGAACCAGUGUACUUGAAGGUGGGGUGACAGAAGUCACCCAGUCUGAGCAGCAGAGAGGAAGUAGACUGGAGUGAAGGAGCAGGCAGAUCAGAACGUCAGGGACCUGAGGCCAGAACGAGACAUCACAUUCCUGUCACGGCCCUGGGGUGG